UUAAAUUGAAGAGUUUGAUCAUGGCUCAGAUUGAACGCUGGCGGCAGGCCUAACACAUGCAAGUCGAACGGUAACAGGAAGCAGCUUGCUGCUUCGCUGACGAGUGGCGGACGGGUGAGUAAUGUCUGGGAAACUGCCUGAUGGAGGGGGAUAACUACUGGAAACGGUGGCUAAUACCGCAUAACGUCGCAAGACCAAAGAGGGGGACCUUCGGGCCUCUUGCCAUCAGAUGUGCCCAGAUGGGAUUAGCUNNUUGCACAAUGGGCGCAAGCCUGAUGCAGCCAUGCCGCGUGUAUGAAGAAGGCCUUCGGGUUGUAAAGUACUUUCAGCGGGGAGGAAGGUGUUGUGGUUAAUAACCGCAGCAAUUGACGUUACCCGCAGAAGAAGCACCGGCUAACUCCGUGCCAGCAGCCGCGGUAAUACGGAGGGUGCAAGCGUUAAUCGGAAUUACUGGGCGUAAAGCGCACGCAGGCGGUCUGUCAAGUCGGAUGUGAAAUCCCCGGGCUCAACCUGGGAACUGCAUUCGAAACUGGCAGGCUUGAGUCUUGUAGAGGGGGGUAGAAUUCCAGGUGUAGCGGUGAAAUGCGUAGA
rnacentral:rRNA from 1 species